CCUACGGGGGGCAGCAGUGAGGAAUAUUGGUCAAUGGGCGGAAUCCUGAACCAGCCAAGUCGCGUGCAGGAUGACGGCCCUAUGGGUUGUAAACUGCUUUUAUACGGGAAUAACGCGCCUUACGUGUAGGGCUUUGCAUGUAUCGGAAGAAUAAGGACCGGCUAAUUCCGUGCCAGCAGCCGCGGUAAUACGGAGGGUCCGGGCGUUAUCCGGAUUUAUUGGGUUUAAAGGGAGCGUAGGCCGGAUGUUAAGCGCGCUGUGAAAUUUCCGGGCUCAACCCGGGCCUUGCAGCGCGAAUUGGCGGGCUUGAGUCCGCGGAAAGCAGGCGGAAUUCGUGGUGUAGCGGUGAAAUGCAUAGAUAUGGCGAAGAACCCCGAUUGCGAAGGCAGCUUGCUGCAGCGGAACUGACGCUGAUGCUCGAAAGCGCGGGUAUCGAACAGGAUUAGAUACCCUAGUAGUC
rnacentral:rRNA from 1 species